GGUGUGUAGCUCAGUGGCAGAGCGGCGGCUUCCAAACCCGCGCGCCGGGGGUUCGAUUCCCUCCACACCCG
rnacentral:tRNA from 4 species